rnacentral:lncRNA from 1 species
GGGAACACCGUGAAACUCGACAGGGAUGGACUUGUGCGUAAUCAGAUGUACAUUAAAACUACGAAGAUACUAAAAAUGAUAGGCUCGGAGAGUAAGGGCCCUCUCUGUUUUGUUCGUUUUGAGAAACUGCGUCUCAUGUAGCCUUGGAGCUCAGUUGUCGUCCAGCUCAGUACGUAGUACGUAGUACGCAGUACGUAGUACCUUCAACCCUGGAUCUUCCUGCCUCCAUCCUCCAAAGGCUGGGAUUCGAGAUAUAUGGAGAGGUGUAGCCUCCCCACCCCCAGCCUGGAACCUGCUGGCUCAGGGGUGGAGUUUCCUGCUCUUUCGUUCUGCCACGCCCACUGCUGGACCGUGCACCUUUGCUGCUUGGAGCCACACACGUGUUCACCCUGCUACUGGACCCCGAGACCAGUUGGUGGGAAUCGGGUCCCCUCCCCCUUCCUUUAUAACUGAAUGUCGGAACUAGUAAAAUUGAGCUUUGAACAGGA